rnacentral:rRNA from 1 species
AACGCGAAGAACCUUACCUGGGCUUGACAUGCUAGAGAAAGUCCCGUGAAAGCGGGAGCCCUCUUCGGAGCUCUAGCACAGGUGCUGCAUGGCUGUCGUCAGCUCGUGUCGUGAGAUGCUGGGUUAAGUCCCGCAACGAGCGCAACCCCUAUCUGCUGUUGCUAACGCGUAAAGGCGAGGACUCUGCAGAGACUGCCGGUGACAAACCGGAGGAGGGUGGGGACGACGUCAAGUCAUCAUGGUCCUUACGCCCAGGGCCACACACGUGCUACAAUGGCCGGGACAAACCGCAGCAAACCCGCGAGGGGGAGCGAAUCGGAGAAACCCGGUCCAAGUUCGGAUCGCAGUCUGCAACUCGACUGCGUGAAGCCGG